GAUGAACGCUGGCGGCGUGCUUAACACAUGCAAGUCGAACGGAGUGCUCAUGACGGAGGAUUCGUCCAACGGAUUGAGUUACUUAGUGGCGGACGGGUGAGUAACGCGUGAGGAACCUGCCUCGGAGUGGGGAAUAACAGACCGAAAGGCCUGCUAAUACCGCAUAAUGCAACGGAAUCGCAUGACUCUGUUGCCAAAGAUUUAUCGCUACUGAGAUGGCCUCGCGUCUGAUUAGCUAGUUGGCGGGGUAACGGCCCACCAAGGCGACGAUCAGUAGCCGGACUGAGAGGUUGGCCGGCCACAUUGGGACUGAGACACGGCCCAG
rnacentral:rRNA from 1 species